rnacentral:rRNA from 1 species
UAGUUAUAUGCUUGUCUCAAAGAUUAAGCCAUGCACGUGUAAGUACACGCUUUAGUAUAGUGAAACUGCGAAUGGCUCAUUAAAUCAUAUGUGAUUUCUUAGAUCGUUGCGUCCUCUCGGGGAUGUCUGGAUAACUGUGGCAAUUCUAGAGCUAAUACAUGCAAUCAAGCUCCAACCUUCGUGGGACGAGCGCUCUUAUUAGACCAAGGCCAACCUGCUGGGCAACUGGCAGUUAGCUGUGGUGACUCUGGAUAAACACAGUUGAUCGCACGACUUUACGUCGGCGACGUAUCUUUCAAGCGUAUGCCCUAUCAGCUGUCGACGGUAGGGUAGCGGCCUACCGUGGCAUCAACGGGUAACGGGGGAUCAGGGUCCGAUCCCGGAGAGUAAGCCUGAGAGACGGCUUACACAUCUAAGGAAGGCAGCAGGCGCGCAAAUUACCCAAUGGGGAAACCCUGAGGUAGUGACAAGAAAUAACAAUACGCGACUCUUUCGAGGCCGCGUAAUUGGAAUGAGCACAGUCUAAAUCCUUUAGCGAGGAUCAAUU